GACUCUACCUACUUUAUUCUAUGUAUAAAAAUGAAUGUAACCUUUGUAUAAGUUCUCUUUUCCACCUGACUUCUUACCGAGUUAUAUGAACUAGAUCCGUGCACGUAAAACUGCGGGACAAGAUUACUUUUAACUCAUUAAAACUGCCUUUUGUUUCAACUGAAAUACACUCUGUCCAGCGCCCGUGAUUUGGUCUCGACUCUCCAGUAUUUAAACACUAACAUUACGGCUAAGGAGUACUGUCUGCAUUGAUAGCGGUGCUUGCUGUGGAUGUUGUGAGGAAGGAAACUUGCAAGGAACUGCCAUACUUCGCUGAAGGAAUAUCUACAAGUAUCUUGAACUCUUUUAGGGCAGCGAUCCGCCUAGCUCUGGGCUUGACCUCUCUUCCUGACCUUGUGCGAUAUGAUGCUGAGCAUGCUUCUGUCAGUCAACAGUUCUUGUGAUGUUGCAGUAGGUGACGACGAUUGCAGUGUGAUCCUUCUGCGGUGCGGACGUGAUAUGAACGUUCUGUGUCAGCUGGCUGGAUGAUGACUACUGUCUUCCAGAGGCCAUGCUCCUCGAUUCUCACUGACUCUCCGUCGAUCAGUGAUGGCAGUGGUCUAGCUGACCUGUCGUAGUAUUGUUAUAUAAAUAAUCUAAUAUCAAGCAUUACUAGCAGACCAAAGCUCUGGUUAAACCGGAUGCCCUCAGAUAACUCUGGGCCAGGUGUCCUCAGUCAAGUUUAGAGCCUACAUGCAAUAACACGAUUAUCCGAAGGACACACAGCUGCCAUCACGCAAAUAUACUCCCCUGUAACUACAAAGAUCAGCCUGCAACACUAACGAGCUUAGAGUGCCAAACUAUCUCACUAACAUUGAACCCUACCCUACAUGCACUCCUGCAUAAACAGGAAACACCUGUGCCUAAAGCAGACACUGCUAGUUUCCCCUAUCUUACGUUCCUUGACACACAAACAUCUCAUGAAGCAACGCACACUCACACUCCACCCCCCCCCUACUGGUCGGGUGACGUGAGCAGAGGACUCUGCUAUGCACCAAUGGGGCGCCUCUGACUAGAGCAGGCCCGCCUCCAACUCUUCAGGACCAGUCAGAAGACCAACACGACAAGACUCCACCUACGUUAUUCUGUGUAUACAUUCUGUUGUAAACUCUGGCGAGGCAGCCUAAUUAUUCUGACUUCUCACAGAGUCACAUUGCUUAGGUCCGUGCACGAUAAACGGCAGGACAAGAUAUCUUUGACUCAAUAAACUGCCUUUUUGAUAC